AGAGUUUGAUCCUGGCUCAGAUUGAACGCUGGCGGCAUGCCUUACACAUGCAAGUCGAACGGCAGCACGGGAGUAAUCCUGGUGGCGAGUGGCGAACGGGUGAGUAAUAUAUCGGAACGUGCCCAGUCGUGGGGGAUAACGCAGCGAAAGCUGUGCUAAUACCGCAUACGAUCUCUGGAUGAAAGCGGGGGACUCGCAAGAGCCUCGCGCGAUUGGAGCGGCCGAUAUCAGAUUAGCUAGUUGGUGGGGUAAAGGCCCACCAAGGCGACGAUCUGUAGCUGGUCUGAGAGGACGACCAGCCACACUGGAACUGAGACACGGUCCAGACUCCUACGGGAGGCAGCAGUGGGGAAUUUUGGACAAUGGGCGCAAGCCUGAUCCAGCAAUGCCGCGUGCAGGAUGAAGGCCUUCGGGUUGUAAACUGCUUUUGUACGGAACGAAAAGGUCUGCCUUAAUACGGUGGGCCCAUGACGGUACCGUAAGAAUAAGCACCGGCUAACUACGUGCCAGCAGCCGCGGUAAUACGUAGGGUGCGAGCGUUAAUCGGAAUUACUGUGCGUAAAGCGUGCGCAGGCGGUUAUAUAAGACAGAUGUGAAAUCCCCGGGCUCAUCCUGAGACCUGCAUUUGUGACUGUAUAGCGAGAGUACG
rnacentral:rRNA from 1 species